rnacentral:rRNA from 1 species
CUUGUUCUUUCCGCCUAUAUACCGCCGUCGUCAGUUUACCCUGUGAAGGUAAGACAGUAAGCACAAUUGGCACAGCCUAAAACGCCAGGUCGAGGUGUAGCGUAUGGAAGGGGAAGAAAUGGGCUACAUUCCUUAACAUUAAGGUAUACGGAUGAUAUGUUGAAAUACAUAACUGAAGGAGGAUUUAGCAGUAAGCAGGAAGUAGAGUGUCCCGCUGAAAUUGGCUCUGAAGCGCGUACACACCGCCCGUCACUCUCCCCAAGCUAAAGUUUGUCAUUUAACUAAAACGCUAUACCUGUAAAGGGGAGGCAAGUCGUAACAUGGUAAGUGUACCGGAAGGUGCACUUGGAACAAAACAUAC